rnacentral:rRNA from 1 species
GACGAACGCUGGCGGCGUGCUUAACACAUGCAAGUCGAACGGAAAGGCCCUGCUUUUGUGGGGUGCUCGAGUGGCGAACGGGUGAGUAACACGUGAGUAACCUGCCCUUGACUUUGGGAUAACUUCAGGAAACUGGGGCUAAUACCGGAUAGGAGCUCCUGCUGCAUGGUGGGGGUUGGAAAGUUUCGGCGGUUGGGGAUGGACUCGCGGCUUAUCAGCUUGUUGGUGGGGUAGUGGCUUACCAAGGCUUUGACGGGUAGCCGGCCUGAGAGGGUGACCGGGCAAAAUGGGGCUGGGAUACGGCCCAGAAUCCUACCGGGGGGAGCAGUGGGGAAUAUUGCAAAAAGGGGGGGAGCCUGAUGCAGCAACGGCGGGGGCGGGAUGAAGGCCUUCGGGGUGGAAACCGCUUUCGCCUGUGACGAAGCGUGAGUGACGGUAAUGGGUAAAGAAGCACCGGCUAACUACGUG